rnacentral:rRNA from 1 species
GACGAACGCUGGCGGCGUGCUUAACACAUGCAAGUCGAACGGAAAGGCCCUGCUUUUGUGGGGUGCUCGCGUGGCGAACGGGUGUGUAACACGUGAGUAACCUGCCCUUUACUUUGGGAUAACUUCAGGCAACUGGUGCUAAUACCGGAUAGGAGCUCCUGCUGCAUGGUGGGGUUUGGACAGUUUAGGCGGUUGGGGAUGGACUCGCGGCUUAUCAGCUUGUUGGUGGGGUAGUGGCUUACCAAGGCUUUGGCGGGUAGCCGGCCUGAGAGGGUGACCGGCCACAUGGGGACUGAGAGACGGCCCAGACGCGUACGGGAGGCAGCAGGGGGGAAUAUUGCCCAAUGGGGGGAAGCGUGAUGCAGAAACGCCGGGUGCGGGAUGACGGCCUUCGGGUUGGGAACCGCUUUCGCCUGUGACGAAGCGUGAGUGACGGUAAUGGGAAAAGAAGCACCGGCUAACUACGUG